AAGAAUGCCAUGUAAACUCUUCAGAGGGCUGGGGUGACACUCUUACCUGUUUUGAACAGUGUCACUAUUCAGUGUUUUCUACGGAUGUGACAUUUUGUUUGAAACCCUGCCUGGAAAAGCUCAUUUGCAUUCCUGCAGCAAGGCUACAGAAUAAACCCGGCAAACGUGUCUAUUUGUGUACUUCAAUAUACGACUGUGCUUGCUUCAAUCAAGACUUAUUUUCAGUAUCAUGGCCAACAAAAGCAUUAAAUGAGUUUUCUCCAA